GGCAACGUGGCCGAGUGGUCUAAGGCGUUUGACUUGAACCAAUAUGAUAUCCAAUCAAAUCUCUUCGGAGGCGCAUGUUCGAACCAUGCCGUUGUCG